UGUCGCUGACCUUUCAAGGUUGUGCACGCUCGAGUGCUCUCUCACAUCCAUCUCAC
rnacentral:rRNA from 1 species